CAGUGAGACUGCAAAUAUUAGAAGUAUUUAGUAUACUAAAUAGUCUGUUGGUUAGGGCUGACUCUCUGGAGAGAUGGAAGACUCAAAUACAGAUUCUCAGCCAGGAAGAACCUCUUAGAACUCAGAUGACAGUAAGACUAUUCUACAUCAGGUCGUAUCACUUAAAUAGGUUUCUGUACGAAUUCCAGAGGACUGUUGGAGACAACUGCCUAACUUGGGAAUCUUGUUUCACAGGCUUUAGGAUGCUGAGCAGCUUGUUGGUUACAGCACACACUUGAAGAUGACUCUGAGCAACAUGAUCUGACUUUGAAGAUGGUUCUAAAUUCAGAGUGUGGUCUAGAGGACCUCAGCACUCCUGUCCAGCCUGAAUCACUGUGUGCUUCUGGAACAUGCGCUUCAGUGAACUCUUCGUAACAGCUGGAUCAAACUGCAGAAGACUGAGCGCUCUCCAGAAACCAUUUGGAACCCAACCUACGGGACAAGUCUGAAUUUUUGGUGAAGAAAAAAGCAACCACUCAAGCCUUUCAGAAAAGGGAUGAAGUAAUGCUUGGUGAAAUGCAGCACCUUCUUUGCUAGUUAGAGAAUUAAGCGGUCCUCCAGCAGAAAAGCAAGACUAGGCCUUUCCCUAGAACUAGGCCUCCAGUAGAGCACCGAGAGGGAAAGAGAGCAACAUGUCAGUAAUAAGCAAGCUCUGUUCUCAGCUGCAUGAUGACAUAUGACCAGGCACCUCCCUGGGACAGAAUUCAAAAGGUCAGUUUUCCAGCACACUCCAAUCACCUCAGUUUUAGUUAUUUAAGGUGGAAAUUUCUAUGCAAGUUUAUAAAACCCAUCCAGCUACAUGUUACUUUAUUAAACCACAGUUGACCUGAGAUGCAAUUAGGAUUUGACAUUUUUCCAUACUUAGUUCACAAGUUUAUUAUGAAAAACACUGCAGCUCUGUCCUGCAGUAACAUUGUUUUACAGAAAAAAACAGUUCUGUUCAAAGUAAUUCACUAUCCUUGGACAAUUACAAGGGACAAUAUGGUAGGGCAAAGAGUGGAAAAGGGAACCGAGUGCAGACAAAAAAAAAAAAUCAAUACAAUUAAAUUAAACAGUAUUCCC